GAUGGGAGCUUGCUCCCUGAUGUUAGCGGCGGACGGGUGAGUAACACGUGGGUAACCUGCCUGUAAGACUGGGAUAACUCCGGGAAACCGGGGCUAAUACCGGAUGCUUGUUUGAACCGCAUGGUUCAAACAUAAAAGGUGGCUUCGGCUACCACUUACAGAUGGACCCGCGGCGCAUUAGCUAGUUGGUGAGGUAAUGGCUCACCAAGGCGACGAUGCGUAGCCGACCUGAGAGGGUGAUCGGCCACACUGGGACUGAGACACGGCCCAGACUCCUACGGGAGGCAGCAGUAGGGAAUCUUCCGCAAUGGACGAAAGUCUGACGGAGCAACGCCGCGUGAGUGAUGAAGGUUUUCGGAUCGUAAAGCUCUGUUGUUAGGGAAGAACAAGUACCGUUCGAAUAGGGCGGUACCUUGACGGUACCUAACCAGAAAGCCACGGCUAACUACGUGCCAGCAGCCGCGGUAAUACGUAGGUGGCAAGCGUUGUCCGGAAUUAUUGGGCGUAAAGGGCUCGCAGGCGGUUUCUUAAGUCUGAUGUGAAAGCCCCCGGCUCAACCGGGGAGGGUCAUUGGAAACUGGGGAACUUGAGUGCAGAAGAGGAGAGUGGAAUUCCACGUGUAGCGGUGAAAUGCGUAGAGAUGUGGAGGAACACCAGUGGCGAAGGCGACUCUCUGGUCUGUAACUGACGCUGAGGAGCGAAAGCGUGGGGAGCGAACAGGAUUAGAUACCCUGGUAGUCCACGCCGUAAACGAUGAGUGCUAAGUGUUAGGGGGUUUCCGCCCCUUAGUGCUGCAGCUAACGCAUUAAGCACUCCGCCUGGGGAGUACGGUCGCAAGACUGAAACUCAAAGGAAUUGAC
rnacentral:rRNA from 1 species